rnacentral:rRNA from 1 species
GAGGAAUAUUGGGCAAUGGGCGCAAGCCUGACCCAGCGACGCCGCGUGUGGGAUGACAGGGCUAUGCCUUGUAAACCACUGUCGGGGGGGACGAAAAGCGAGCUACGGCUCGCCGGGACGGUACCACCAAAGGAAGGGGCGGCUAACUACGUGCCAGCAGCCGCGGUAAUACGUAGGACCCAAGCGUUAUCCGGAUUCGCUGGGGGUAAAGGGGGUGUAGGCGGGGGUGCGGGUCCGGGGUGGAAGGG